CACAACGGUUGUUGGUGACGCUUAGUCACUAUCAACAUAAUAAAUUGUUCUUCUUCUCCGGCUUCUUCUCCUAGUUUUUGGAAUUUAUCAUCACAAACAUGAACUACUCACCUCAUAUAAAUACGAAAGUGUUAUCUCUUACAAUGGUGAAGCAUUCGUUCACUUACGAUAGAGUCGAUGGUUCGAGAGUUCGGAAAGUUCUGAUGUUGAUCUCCUGGAUGGAUAUUUCACAGAUUCGAAAUUGAGGAGACAGACAAAGUCUUAUAGAGCAAGGGUUGGGGUUGUUGAAUACUAUGUAUCCAAACGGUAAGACACCGUGUGAAUUUGUUAGAUUUCAAAUAGGUGUGGGAGAAGAUUUUAGACCCAAAUGCGUAAGUGUUAUUUCAUAUAACAAUGAAGUAUUCGUUCACCUACGACAAUUCCAUAAAUUCGAUGGUAAAGUAAAAAUGACUCCUUCAUCGAUAUACCUUACUGAAAAGGGUGCGCUCAAAUUACUCAAUCUACGAGAUAAGGUGGGAGAUAUCGUUACAAGACAUGAGAAAAAUAGUGCCAGAUUUCUGAACAGAGAUGUUGCGAUGUUUUUCAUCUUUGACGGAGUUGUACCGACGACGCAUGCAGACAACCGAAAUACACCACGGUGUUCAUCAUCACAAGCACAGUGUUUGAUAAAAAAAAAAAGGUAUAUAUCCAUGUACGCAACUUCAUCAAAAAGGCAAGCUUCAGCAUGGAUAGGUAUAUACAAACAUAUAGGUGUCAGCUUCGAGACAAUAGAGUUCAGGGAACUCGUCAGCCAAGGAAAUGACCUCAAACAACAAAUGUCUAGAGUAAAGAGCUGCAACCAGGAGGAUGGCUGUUAGAGCUCCAUGUGUUGCAUCGAAGAUAAAAGAUACAACAGAGCCGCUCAUUUCGGAGAAAAGAAAAGAAAAGACAGAGAAACAAGAGAAGACGUCUAGACUUCAAGAAGUCACACAACUACUCACCUCAUACAGUAUGGCUCCUUUACUUUGAAGUCCAUCAUCUCGACCAUGUUCAACACUCAGCUCAACUAGCUUAAAAAACUCUGUGUCCUGACUGCCGGGGAUGGUGUAAAUGUCCUUGCUGAAUUCAGCAGCAUCGGGUGUUCGAGGCCUCUUCAGACCUUUGGGAAAGCUGGGGAGUUUGGGCACUUGAUACGUCAUCGGAAGUCUCCCAGUUCUAACAUCAUCUUUACCUCUAGGGACUGGAAAUCUUACACCAUUGGUCGGACUUUCCCACUGUGUUUUUGACGUUCGACGGUUGUAAAAAUAGAUGAUGUUUCCCCAUCCGAAUACCCGCCAUUCCACCCACCUUUCUUUCAAAAGGAGGCAGAGAAGCACUGAUGCCAGAUCCAGAGCAAGUUGUCUGGCUAUCCGUCGACCAUUCAGAAAUCAUCACCGAAUGACUUCGAAUCCCCCGUAAAAUGUUUUGGUUUAAUUCAUUGUAAAGUGUUUUCUCCUAGAGGGUUAUAUCUUCCUGUUCUUUCUAUAUCGAUGCAAUAAUAAAUUACUCUUCCCUCUGUGUCCAAGUUGUAGCGAGAAGUUAGAGAAAUGUGCACAUUCUGAGGAAGAACGUUACAUUACUGGCACAUGGGUAACGGAAAAGAUUAAGAAGGCAAUGACUUUGGGAUAUCGGAUUAUUAAGACUAUAUAAUUUUAUGAUUCAAAAUACUCUGAACUGAGUGGAUGUCAGCUUCUUUGGUACAACAGAUCUAUUCGUUCAAAAUCUAAGCAAUAUUUUUAUUUCCCAUCCUGGUAUGAUAGAAAUGUUUUGACCAUUUCUGACUUAUUCAACCCACCUCGAUCUUCCUGGCAACAAGCUAUUUGAGGAACUUGUUAUAGAUUUCAAUAUUCCUUCUACAGAUAGAAGAAAGAUUAAUUUCUUGUUGAAGAAUAUCCCAAGAGAAUGGAUGGAGUAAUUUGAUAGUAGUUAUAGCAGUGAGUAUGGGGACGGCCGUAGGUUUUGUACACAAAUAUUUUCGUACUAUUUCUAAUUGACUCGUGUACAUUAACUUUGACAUAGUCUAUUUUCGAGAAAAAAACGGACUUAUAACACGCGUGUCUAUGGGGUUUUGUUGAGGUCUUGACUUUUCGAAUUUAAUUAGGGAUUUGUCAUUUUGGACUUGUAAA